GGGGAGGUAGCAUAAUGAUUAUGCAAAAGACUUUUAUGCUUGAGGCUCUUAAGUUCCCAGGUUCAGUCCCUGGCACCACCA
rnacentral:tRNA from 1 species